CUGCCACAACGGCUUCCUGACGUGGCGGAAUUUCUGGCCAAUGGAGCG
rnacentral:ncRNA from 1 species